UGCAGAUGAUGUGAAAGAAUAUUUGCUAUCUGAGCCGCGGUGCGGACGCCCGUGACCACCGAGAUCGCUGAUGCA
rnacentral:snoRNA from 1 species